AUCACGCUGGUUCAUAUCAGCAACUGCUCUUGCCUAGCACAAAAACAAUCCAACUGUUGAACUAUGCCUUGCAAAAAAGUAUAUGUAUAAUCUUUUUAAUCUGAAACGAGAAGUGAGAAGGAUAUAAAGAAUGGUGCCAAUAGAAGUGUUUUCCUGACAAUUUUGCCUGGACAUAAUGCAUGAUUGAAAUCAAGAUGAAAUGGGCAAGUCUCACCCACAAUCCCAAAAUGGUCAGGUCAGUUGCAAUUCGGGUAUCAAGCUUGAUGAUGA